GUGUGCUGCCUGCUGGACCUCCAGGUGCCGCGCUCUAAGCCCUAACAGCGGGUCAUGUGACGACUCUUUCAACACUAAUCACUCUGCUGAGCACCAUGAAUCAGCGACACGCGGUGCGGGUGAGAGCCGUGGGGCACCGGUAGCCAAGUGGUUAGCCCUUUAAACUUCACUGACUUCCAACUUCAGAACGAGAGGAAAAAAUUGCAGAAGACAACAAUUCAAUAAGUUUAUAUUUGUCUGAAAUGUCUUUGGUGUCUCUUUGACCGAGUUCUGCUGUACGUAUGAUAGUGUUGAUAAAAAGUCAAAGAAAUCUGUAAAUAUGUGAUUGUGAAACAAAAACUUCUAAAUAAACUCGUUGAAGACGA